AGUGAACGCUGGCGGUAGGCCUAACACAUGCAAGUCGAACGGACCCACCGUAAGUGCUUGCGCUUGCGGGAGUCGCGUGGCGGACGGGUGCGUUAUACAUCGGAUUAUACUUGUUCGUGGGGGAUAACGCAGGGUAAGUUACGCGAAUGACGGAUUAGUCCCACGGAUGAAAGCAGGGGAUCUUCGAGCCUUGCGGGUAUGAAUGUGGCGCUGUCGGAUUAGCUAGUUGGGGGGGUCAGAGCCCACCAAGGCGCAGAUCCGUAGCUGGUCUCGGAGGAUGAUCCACCACACUGGAACUGAGACACGGUCGAGACUCUUACGGGAGGCAGCAGUGGGGAAUAUUGGGCGAUGGGCGAAAGCCUGAUCCAGCCAUACCGCGUGGGUGAAGAAGGCCUUAGGGUUGUAAAACCCUUUUGUUGGGAAAGAAAAGCAGCAGGUUAAUAGCCGGCUGUUCUGACGGUACCCAAAGAAUAAGCACCGGCUAACUUCGUG
rnacentral:rRNA from 1 species